GUAGACUUUACCUUCACUAUCAUUUCAUUAAUCGAACUUGCAUACAAGACUCUAUGCAAUUCCAGUUUCAUGGCCACGCAAUCAUUUAAAAGUUCAUUUAAAAUUCUCAGAGUAGUUUCAUAUACAAUAGCUGUAGAAUAAUAUGUGAAAUCAAUGUUUUAUUUUGAUGCAAAAAUGGCUUCUAAAUCUUUGUAUAACCGGUUUGGUUUUAACUUCAAAUCUGCAGGUGAGCCAUUAGAUGAGCCAGCACUGCUUUUGUUUGUCCAAAAUCCACUCCAUCUAGUAUGGCUGGUUGAAGGGUCAUUUGGAUUUCCACUUCUUUCAGCAGUAAAGCUAGCCUUUGCCAGUUCUCGUAGCUGUUUUGGCCAUGUUUUAUCUGAUGUGCCUGUGCUCCUGGUUCCUGAGCUUUUGUUUCCGUCCGAAGAUGAAACAGUCUCCCCUCCGGUUUCUCUAUCUUGCUGUGGAUUCCCUGGCAGCUUGCAUUCCAGGUUUCUACUCAUUUUCUCUGGGAUGAAAAACAAGAGAAAUCCAAUUGACGCAGUUUUCAGACCGAUCGAAAAGGACUUCUCAGCAGGGUCCAGUUGCUUUGUCUGUAUGUACAAUGCGUACCAUUCAUUGAUUAUUUGUGCCAAGAAUCCAAUUAAGAAGAGCACAAUCAUGAAUAUUCCAACUUUAGUUUCAUCCCUGUCUGUUAAUUUCUCCUCCAACAGUACAAAACAUGUAGCAAAUAGACCUACUUGAGAGGAAACAGUGAUGAUCUCAACCAAUUGGACUUUUUUCUUAACAAAAGGCUUCUUCAGGACAAGGAAAAAGAGCUGAAAGGAGGCGAUGCACAAUAAGAUAACUAUUGGGGUUUUAGAGGACCAGUUAUCCAAGUAGGCACCAACCACAAUUCCCAAAGUAACUCGCUUGAUUGUUUCAAGCAGCGUGUAAUAUAUUCUAAGCACUCCAAACAGUUUCUGAAUAAAAGGUGCUUCUGCAUCUUCUGUUUCAUCAUCGGAUGCAAUGAUACGAUCACUUUGCUUGCUGGGAUUACCGAUAGAAAUCUGUGUGAGCAUGUAUUUAGGGGGCCCUCUUAGAUCUUCAAACAAAGCACCAAACUUUAUUAGAUAAAUAGAGUUAGUUUGGUUUUUCCACGUCCAUUGCCCUCUUUUACCAGGACCUAAAGAUACUCGGAUCAUGUCUUGAUACCAGUGAAAUAUUUGGCCUUCUUGAUGGACUUCCUUGUACUGUAAUAGCUUCCCAAGCGUAAUUCCGAUGGAGAGGAACAAGAACAAGCACAAAACUGAAAAACCCACAACACCCAGCAGCAGAAUGCCAACAACCCGCCCUGAUGGCGUUCCUCCUUGAACCACAAAAGCAACAUCAGCUAAACUAUGCAAAUACAUUAUGUAAUUUCAAGUUCUCCUAAAUAUUGAUAAAACAGAAAGAGUGCGCUAAGGCAUAGUGCAUUUAACUAUAGCAACUGUUCCAAAUUAUUGGUUAUGAUGAAUGAAAACCAUUUUACAAAUUUUCUGAAUGUCCAAUGCAUAGAUUUAAUAUUGUUUUGAUAAUGCCAAUUUUAAAUUUGUUUAAAAGCCAUUCGCCAUGUUUCAAACUACAUAUAUUGCAGGCUAGUGAACACACAGAAAAGGAACCACAUAGUCAACUAAUAUAUUCCUGGUAAGGUACUCAAAGCAUAACUGUUUACAAAGCAAUCAAAUGUUGGCCUUAUCACAAUUUUACUAAUAAUAUUAGGAACUACAAUACCGGUGACCAUGCAUAUUGUGCAAUAUAUGGCAAUUAUAUUCUCGAGAAUCAGGGAAGAAGGUUGCAAGAAGUUACUCUAGGUUUUAUGGUUUUCUUUUCCCUACAAAAAUCUAAAUGUAGUUUCAGAAUUAUAAGAUGAGAAAAUAAAUUACACACUUCCCAUUAUAAUAUGCAAGCUCUCUUUUCAUGCUCAGAUGUGCUUCCUAUGCAUAUAGAAGGAUAUAUAUAAGAGUUAAAGGUGAACUUGCAUGGUACCUCUAACAAGAGAUGCAGAGGCCUCACAAAUACAAGGCAAUGCAAGAAUCAUGAGAAAUAUCUCAAAUCUUGGGAAUGUUAAUGCUCCAUAACCCCUCUGCUUUUCAGAGUUUUUCUUCCUGAAUUUUAGAAUAAAAAAGAGCAGAGCAUGUAGCAGUAUUAAGCUGCCACCAACUACAGCUAACCAGAACAUACUUCUCUCAAAAAUUCUCCACCCAUUUGAAUACUGUGGAUCAAAAAUGUAUUCAGCUUCUGGAUUAAUAUUUUGGCUCUCAAAAAAUGAUCUGUACUCCAUUGGAGUGAGUGGCAAUCCAUAUAUUGGAGAAGCAAUAUUCACAUUUUCUUCUUCCUGUUGCAAACUCUGGGAAAUUUCCGAAUCAUGAAUAUUGGAAAUAUAGGAAUGUGGAGCAGUAGAGGAAUUUGUGCUCCACAUGAUUGGGUGAAUACCCCCAGAUUCCCAUGGGAGACUGAAGUAGGGAAUACUCCAUUGUAGACCUCUUGCAAAUUCAUAAUAUUCAAUUGGCAGCAAAACAGCUAACCAUCUAGACAGUGCAAAAACCUGAAUGAAGCAUGCAAUUCUCUGUGUAAAAGGAAAAUAUAAGAUGCUUUUAGUUUUAUAAUGAUGAUGGAAAGCUUGUUAACUUCAAUUAUCAUAUCACAAAGUGAUAGAAUUUAAAAAAAAAAAAAAGGAUAUAAAUUUACAAAUCAUGAAAUUAUUUCUUUCAAUUGGUUUGACAUCAAUGAAUCAUACAUAAUUAGUAAAUAUAUAAUGAUUUUGGGACUGGGGUCUGUGAAGUCAACAAAUGCAGAACCACCAACCAAAAUACAGUGGAGAUGAAAUUCAAUAAUUUUAGGAUAAUGUGAGUGUGACGGUACAUUUUCUUGGAGAAAUUCAUUUAGAUGCAAUGAUGAAGAGGAAGCAUUCCUUCUACACUAGUUUCAGUCAUCUCACUUGGACUGCCAAGAAGGAAUGAAAAGUUUUGAUGCCAUCAGCAACCGAGUUCCAGAAAUUUAACCUAUAUGAUAUCACUCAACCAUAAAAAUGAGUUCCUUCUUUUGUAAACAAGAAAUCAUUUAGAGAGUCAAUUGUGUUAUGUUACAGAAGCAUGCAAAAUUAUGCAGUAUUAUGGGUAAAGAUGUCUGUAAGAACAUUUGAGGUAUGAACUGAUGUGCUUCCAGUAUUCUGUCUGAGACGUGAGGUUAUCAACGUGAAAAGAAAUUUCUGAAUCUCACAACAACCUUCCCAACCCAAAUCUUUUAACAAUUAGAAUGGUAAAAUAUCAAAAACUAUCAAGGCAUUACUGAAUGAGAGAAUUUUUCAUGAGUCAAGUGUCAUACAAAAAGAUUCCUUGUAGGAUCAGAAGUCAGCAAAGAAGUUCGCCUUGAAAAUGCUCCAACAGACUGAAGGCUUGCUGUCGACACUGUGAGCAGUCCAGCAACCAAAGAUGUUGCCACGAAAAUAGCAGUUGCAAAAGCAGAAAUUACAGUAGAUAUUGUAGGUACACAAUCUGAAUGUGCAUUUAAAAAUAUACAUCAGCAUAUCACCAGGGAAAAAAUUCUGGUGAAGACCACUUCAAAAAUUUACAUCAUCCAAUACUAAAAACUCAAUAUAAGCAAAAAAGUGAAAACCGAGGUCCUUACAGUGUCUCACUUGUAGAAUGUUAGACGCUAGAUUUUUGUUUCCAGCAACGUCUCCAGUUACAUUUUGGGGAACAUUGACAGAUACAAUAUCAUUAUCAGCUUGUAUCUGUGCAAUGUAUUUGGUCCUACUUAUUUCAUGAAAGCUGGAUUCCAUUAAAAGCAAUAAAUCAACAUUUGAUGGAUUUAACUCUGUUCUAUAUAUGAUAGCAUAUUCUUUGCCUAGAAUUACCUAAAUAUGAAGCAGAGAAGUGAAAUAUUUUAAUGUUGCCUAGUGUACCUGAGAGUGUGUGUGUGUGUGUUGGUAGGAAUGCCAAGUGUUCAUGUAGGUAAGCAUACAGAAAUGUUGGUAAAAUGAGUUUACUUGCCUUUGCAAAUGCCCCCCUGAGAUUGAUAGAAAAGAAGAGUUGAAACCAAAUACAGGCUUCAUGAACUUUAUUGAUACUGGGAUGCUGUCUUCCUUCGUCCUUGAGUUAGAUGUUGUACUUAGUCUCACAGCAGGCCUUUCAGAAUCAUAAAGGAAAGUAACUGGUGCAAUUGAAGAAACAGGAGUCCCGGAUCUGCUUAUUAUAGAGUUUGGAUGAAUGUCUACUGUGAUGAUCGCAAUGCUAGAUACAUUAACCACCUGAAAUCCAAAUCUGCGGUUCCCAAGGUUUUCUCCACUUAUAGGAACAAGUGAACCCUCACUCACAUUGAGAGAAUCUAGAAUUUCAGCAGAAGAAUUGAGAACAGGUUGUGAGAAGUACAAAUAUACAUUCAACUUGUCAUAAUUGUUUGUUGCCUGCACUGUUCUAGUUUGAUUUUCAAGCUGAAGUAGCUUUUCAGGAACAUGAAUCCUCAGCUCAACAAAGACGCUUCUUCUAUCAAAAUGAACAUAGAAACUAGAAUUUGCUACCCUUGUAAAUGUGUUUCCCGCGGUAUCUGUACAAAAAUUCUUAUCCAUUACCAAGAUCACCCGUCCAUACAGAUCAGUAGGUGACAAACCCACCAGUACAGAAUAUUUGACGUUUGGUUGCAGAAUUGUCAGUGAAGAUGGUAUUACUUGGCCAGCACCAUAGACCAGCAGAUUGCAUGUAUUCACAGAUGAACAUCCAAAAGUCCCUCCACCAGAGCAGGGUUCAGUGAAAGAAAUAUUUACAGAAACAUUUCCAGCAUUUGUAAAAGAAGUUGAUGCAGUUAUAUACGCUGUUGGGGGGACAGUAUCAACAGUCCAGUUAUAUGUAGCACAGGCAGCUCCUUGAGACCCAUUGAUGCAGACCUCAAAUGCGUGAUUUCCAUCCUGCAAGCCAUCGUAUAAAACCUUCCUGGUUCCGCAAUCUGAUGAAGUGCCCUCAUCCAGCUUGCAACUUAUGCUACAGUUUGUGCAAGAAUUCUCAUUCCCACCCACUAAAACUUGAAACACAAAUGUGGCUGUUUUCAAAUGUGAGAAUGCGUGGGGAGCCUUCAAGAACUUCACAGAUACCUCUGAAUCAACACAAAGAGCUCUAAAACCCAAAAGUGAAAAGACCCAGCAAAGUGAAACCAACCGUGAUAGUUUUAACAAAACCAUUUCUGUACGGACUCUAAAAUUGAAGUCUAAACCAUGAUGAGCCCAAAAUGGGAGACAUUUGGUGGGUAGUGAAAGGAGGAUUAGAAGGGCAUUGCAUGUAAAUGGGUGUGGGGAAAAUGUGGUCAAGAAGGACAGAGAAGGAUUAGAUGAAAUAAUGGAAGCAAGAGAGUGGCAUAGAAAUGGGGUUAGUGAUUAACGAAGGAUGAGUUUAAGGAUAGUGCACAUGAGACUGACAGUACAGAACCAGUGUGUUCUGUGGAGAUAAGAGAGACAGAAAGAGAGAGAGGUGCUCCAAUAAGGAUUUGUCUUUGAAAGAAGACAGACAACAGGUAAGCAUCACUUCUGUUUUGGCCAUGAAAUUUUUGGUCAGGGACUGAAAAUUCUGCAAAAAGGAUUCGUUGAAAAUUGCAUGUCACAAUUGCCAAUAACGCUACCCAAAAGAAUUAGGAACCAACCUAAUAAAAUAUGUUAUAAUUAAAAAAGUCCACAGAAAAUUAAAUUUGGAGCCGUCAGGAGGAAAAUGAAAUUUGAAGUUUCAAGUACUGGGAUUCCAAGAAAAAUAGCAAGUAUAAAUGAAUAUCUGAACAUGGGACCAUAAAAAC
rnacentral:misc_RNA from 1 species